rnacentral:tRNA from 3 species
CAAUUAAUAGUUUUUUAAAAAAUAAUAAUUUUGGAAAUUAUAGAUAUAAUUUAUUUAUUUAAUUGA